AUUGAACGCUGGCGGCAGGCUUAACACAUGCAAGUCGAGCGGUAACAGAGAGAAGCUUGCUUCUCUGCUGACGAGCGGCGGACGGGUGAGUAAUGCCUAGGAAUCUGCCUAGUAGUGGGGGAUAACUUGCCGAAAGGUAAGCUAAUACCGCAUACGUCCUACGGGAGAAAGGAGGGGACCUUCGGGCCUCUCGCUAUUAGAUGAGCCUAGGUCGGAUUAGUUAGUUGGUGAGGUAAUGGCUACCCAAGACCGCGAUCCGUAACUGGUCUGAGAGGAUGAUCAGUCACACUGGAAAGUAGACACGGUCCAGACGCCGACGGGAGGCAGCAGUGGGGAAUAUUGGACAAUGGGGGGAACCCUGAUCCAGCCAUGCCGCGUGUGUGAAGAAGGUCUUAGGAUUGUAAAGCACUUUAAGUUGGGAGGAAGAGCAGUUAACUAAUAUUUGACUGUUUUGACGUUACCGACAGAAUAAGCACCGGCUAACUUCGUGCCAGCCGCCGCCGUAA
rnacentral:rRNA from 1 species